UGAGGGAGAAUCUCCGUCUAGUCAACUUACAGGGAGUCACGAUAAUCAGAUGAUGACUUCUUCGCUCCCUGCCUCUCAGGCAGCGACAGGUGCUCCCACACUGUCUCGUCUGCUGGAAGCUGGCCCCACCCAAUUUCCCUCUCAGCUGAGCUCAUUGGCCACUGCAGACUCCGCCCUCAGCGCUGCCACCUCUGCAGUGGACACCGCUGCCCCGCUCGGCACAGGAGGUGAUGGAGCCCCCAUGGCUUCAGUGGAUAAUAAGGAGGCAGUUUUAG